UCAGCGGGCGCCGCCAAAGACCUUUGAACAAUCCAUGGCUAACCUGCAGGCAAAGGCACUGGAGAUAAGGCUUAAGGAGUUUCAUGCAACCGGGCACAGAUUGACAGCAGGAAGGAGCAGCUGGACUUGGCUAAGAAAAAGCUAAAGCAGGCCAAGAAAGAAGCCAAAGGGAGCUCAGGAAACAAGCUGUUUAUGUCAGUAUCUCAUUCCAGACCUCUGAAUAAGGGGACAUUUGUUUGCUCUUCCAGCUAUUAGAGUCCCUUUGUAGAUGAAUAUGAUAUACACAUGUAUAAAACAUUUUAUGUGAGUUCAAGGUCGUGGAGAAGAAAAAGAAAGCUGUGCAGAGGUGAGGAACAGCUGCUGAAGAUGGAGGUUCAGGCUACAGACAGAGAGGAGAAAAAACAGAUCGCCGUGAGCACCUCCAAAUUCAACUACCGUGGCCUGGUGUAAGAACAUGGAGGUGACACUGGAAAAAAUGUAUAACAAAACCUUAAAGGAUAAGUUUGCCUGGGCUAUCGACAUGACUGAACAUGAUGUUGUGUUCCGAGUGUGAUUUAUCUUCCAAUAUGUUUUAUGCAAAAUUUAAUUGAAUCUGUUAACUAAAUUGUGCGGCCAUGUUUUAAAGAUGUUGGCCCUUUUAUAUUGUUCAGUUUUUAUAUCAACCAGAUUCACAUGUUCCAAGUUAUUUUAAGAAAGUUUAA